UGCCGGGUCUGCUAAAGGUAGGCAACCGCUCUCUGAAAGCGGGAAUCUUGGUUCGAUUCCAAGCCCGGCAG
rnacentral:tRNA from 1 species